AAGCUAUUUAGGUAGCGCCUCGUGAAUUCAUCUCCGGGGGUAGAGCACUGUUUCGGCUAGGGGGCCAUCCCGGCUUACCAACCCGAUGCAAACUGCGAAUACCGGAGAAUGUUAUCACGGGAGACACACGGCGGGUGCUAACGUCCGUCGUGAAGAGGGAAACAACCCAGACCGCCAGCUAAGGUCCCAAAGUCAUGGUUAAGUGGGAAACGAUGUGGGAAGGCCCAGACAGCCAGGAUGUUGGCUUAGAAGCAGCCAUCAUUUAAAGAAAGCGUAAUAGCUCACUGGUCGAGUCGGCCUGCGCGGAAGAUGUAACGGGGCUAAACCAUGCACCGAAGCUGCGGCAGCGACGCUGAUGCGUUGUUGGGUAGGGGAGCGUUCUGUAAGCCUG
rnacentral:rRNA from 1 species